GGCCGCGAAUUCGCCCUUAGGGUUUGAUUAUGGCUCAGGACGAACGCUGGCGGCGUGCCUAAUACAUGCAAGUCGAACGCUUCUUUUCCCAUCGGAGCUUGCUCCACCGGGAAAAGAGGAGUGGCGAACGGGUGAGUAACACGUGGGUAACCUGCCCAUCAGAAGGGGAUAACACUUGGAAACAGGUGCUAAUACCGUAUAACAAUCGAAACCGCAUGGUUUCGGUUUGAAAGGCGCUUUACGGUGCCGCUGAUGGAUGGACCCGCGGUGCAUUAGCUAGUUGGUGAGGUAACGGCUCACCAAGGCCACGAUGCAUAGCCGACCUGAGAGGGUGAUCGGCCACAUUGGGACUGAGACACGGCCCAAACUCCUACGGGAGGCAGCAGUAGGGAAUCUUCGGCAAUGGACGAAAGUCUGACCGAGCAACGCCGCGUGAGUGAAGAAGGUUUUCGGAUCGUAAAACUCUGUUGUUAGAGAAGAACAAGGGUGAGAGUAACUGUUCACCCCUUGACGGUAUCUAACCAGAAAGCCACGGCUAACUACGUGCCAGCAGCCGCGGUAAUACGUAGGUGGCAAGCGUUGUCCGGAUUUAUUGGGCGUAAAGCGAGCGCAGGCGGUUUCUUAAGUCUGAUGUGAAAGCCCCCGGCUCAACCGGGGAGGGUCAUUGGAAACUGGGAGACUUGAGUGCA
rnacentral:rRNA from 1 species